rnacentral:rRNA from 1 species
UACAGAGGGGGCAAGCGUUGUUCGGAAUUACUGGGCGUAAAGGGCGCGUAGGCGGCCUGUUAAGUCGAACGUGAAAUCCCCGGGCUCAACCCGGGAACUGCGUCCGAUACUGGCAGGCUUGAAUCCGGGAGAGGGAUGCGGAAUUCCAGGUGUAGCGGUGAAAUGCGUAGAUAUCGGGAGGAACACCAGUGGCGAAGGCGAGUCUCUGGGAUGAUGCUGACGCUGAGGCGCGAAAGCCAGGGGAGCAAACGGG